UGCGUAGGCGGUUCCUUAAGUUUGGUGUGAAAUCUCCCGGCUUAACUGGGAGGGUGCGCCGGAUACUGAGGGACUAGAGUGCGGGAGAGGAAAGUGGAAUUCCUGGUGUAGCGGUGAAAUGCGUAGAUAUCAGGAGGAACACCGGUGGUGUAAACGGCUUUCUGGACCGUAACUGACGCUGAGGCACGAAAGCGUGGGGAGCAAACAGGAUUAGAUACCCUGGUAGUCCACGCCCUAAACGAUGCACGUUUGGUGUGGGUGAUUCAGUUCAUCCGUGCCGGAGCUAACGCGUUAAACGUGCCGCCUGGGGAGUACAGUCGCAAGGCUGAA
rnacentral:rRNA from 1 species